rnacentral:rRNA from 1 species
UAACAAGGAUUCCCUUUAGUAACGGCGAGUGAACCGGGAAGAGCUCAAAUUUGAAAUCUGGCGUCCUCCGGGCGUCCGAGUUGUAAUCUAUAGAAGCGUUUUCCGCGCCGGACCGUGUAUAAGUCUCCUGGAACGGAGUAUCAAAGAGGGUGACAAUCCCGUGCUUUACACGACGACCGGUGCUAUGUGAUACGUUCUCUACGAGUCGAGUUGUUUGGGAAUGCAGCUCAAAACGGGUGGUAAACUCCAUCUAAAGCUAAAUAUUGGUGGGAGACCGAUAGCGAACAAGUACCGUGAGGGAAAGAUGAAAAGCACUUUGGAAAGAGAGUUAAACAGUAUGUGAAAUUGUUGAAAGGGAAACGAUUGAAGUCAGUCGUGUCCAUUGGGUUCAGCCGGUCCUGCCGGUCUACUCCCUUUGGACGGGUCAACAUCAGUUCUGACCGGCGGAUAAUGGCACGAGGAACGUGGCACCCUCCGGGGUGUGUUAUAGCCUCGCGUCGCAUACGCUGGUCGGGACUGAGGAACGCAGCUCGCCUUCAUGGCCGGGGUACGCCCACGUACG